UUUUCCGCGCCGUAGCUAACGCAUUAAGUGCCCCGCCUGGGGAGUACGGCCGCAAGGCUAAAACUCAAAGGAAUUGACGGGGGCCCGCACAAGCGGCGGAGCAUGCGGAUUAAUUCGAUGCAACGCGAAGAACCUUACCAAGGCUUGACAUGAACCGGAAAGACCUGGAAACAGGUGCCCCGCUUGCGGUCGGUUUACAGGUGGUGCAUGGUUGUCGUCAGCUCGUGUCGUGAGAUGUUGGGUUAAGUCCCGCAACGAGCGCAACCCUCGUUCUAUGUUGCCAGCGCGUUAUGGCGGGGACUCAUAGGAGACUGCCGGGGUCAACUCGGAGGAAGGUGGGGACGACGUCAAAUCAUCAUGCCCCUUAUGUCUUGGGCUUCACGCAUGCUACAAUGGCCGGUACAAAGGGUUGCGAUACUGUGAGGUGGAGCUAAUCCCAAAAAGCCGGUCUCAGUUCGGAUUGGGGUCUGCAACUCGACCCCAUGAAGUCGGAGUCGCUAGUAAUCGCAGAUCAGCAACGCUGCGGUGAAUACGUUCCCGGGCCUUGUACACACCGCCCGUCAAGUCACGAAAGUUGGUAACACCCGAAGCCGGUGGCCUA
rnacentral:rRNA from 1 species